UGGCUGUCCUGAUACAUUAAGACGCUAAAUGCGGAUAAAUUGUGUAUCGUUUAUCCAGGAUGGAGGUGACGAUGUUGCCGGAAUUCAUCGAAGUUCUAUAAGGAUGGUUUUGAAGAGCGUAGAUUGCGAAAAUAAGUAAAAGUGAACAAAUAAUAGAAAGAAAGAAAAACAUCUCCAACAAGAUAUCUAUUCAGAAUAUCUCACGAAAGAGCCCCCGAGGAGAGAAUCUGGACAUUAAAACGCACUCUCGUUAAAGAGAUAAAGGAGCCGAUAACACAAAACUUCC